GCUUCCAUCUGGAAGAAUCUGGAGACAGGUGCUGCAUGGCUGUCGUCAGCUCGUGUCGUGAGAUGUUGGGUUAAGUCCCGCAACGAGCGCAACCCUUGCCUUUAGUUGCCAGCAGUUCGGCUGGGCACUCUAAAGGGACUGCCGGUGUUAAACCGGAGGAACGGUGGGGAUGACGUCAAGUCCUCAUGGCCUUUAUGACCAGGGCUACACACGUACUACAAUGGCCGAUACAAAGGGCAGCGACACUGCGAGGUGAAGCCAAUCCCGUAAAAUCGGUCUCAGUCCGGAUUGGAGUCUGCAACUCGACUCCAUGAAGUUGGAAUCGCUAGUAAUCGUGGAUCAGCAUGCCACGGUGAAUACGUUCCCGGGCCUC
rnacentral:rRNA from 1 species